UUUACUCUCUCACUCAAAUCAAACCAUCUUACUGCACAUCCAAACACUCUCUACCUCAUUCUCCCUCACUCUCGUCUCCGAACCCUUACCGUUCGGAUUGCUAAGCCACCACCGUCCUCCCCGCCGCUGGUCCAACAGUCCUCCGACAACCUCAUUCUCCCUCACUCCCUUCCUCACUCUCCCUCACACUCCAUCGACCUUGCCUUCUGCCGCCGACACUACCACCGCCAACAACACAGCCACCGCGGCCAUCCUCAGACUCCUUCCCUCCCUCAUCACUGUCUUUUCAUUCAGUUGAUUUGAAUCUCUCUUUCAGUGUUCGGUUUAAAAUUUUGAACUUUGACAGUGUGACUCAAAGAAGUUAGUUAAGGUGUUAUUUGACAGAUUGAUGCUAUCAUUAGUCAACGUGGUGGUGAAGGACAUACUGAGCAUUAAGCAAGUAGGCGUUUGAAAACUGAGCUACUCAUACAAGCGAAGAUGAAACAGCUUAUGACAGACGGGUCACAGUUGCAGGGAAACGACAUCGAGGCUGGCAUACUUUGGCAGCCUAACGAUGCAUUUGGACAGGUCGUUGGUGCAGAGAGAGGUGGCCGUGUCAGAGGGUUAGGCUUUGGUCCAACCCCCUCUGGCAAUCGUGCGAGGUCAAUGGAUGACAGUACGCCACCUCCAACAUCUAUUGCAACUGACCAAAGGGUUAUAGAGUUGUCUACUCAAUUAGAAGUAAUGAAGGAGAAAUGCAUUCGUUAUGAUGUCCUUGAAGCUCAAGUUCAGUUAAUGCGGAGGAUGUUGACCCGACUGUACCCAUCGUUUACCAGUAUGUCUAUGGAUGGUGAUAGUGAUUUUGCAGUGGAUAUCCAGUCUCCUGGUGCUCAGCGCUUAUCAUCUAAUGAUACGCAGUAGGUGAUACUUUGGGCACCUAUUUUGGAGUAGGAGAUACGUAGUAGAAUGUAUUCUUUUGUGCAGGACAUUCUAUAUAGUUAGAAUGUAUUAUUUUGUGUAGGACAUUCUAUAUAUAGUUAGAAUGUAUUAUUUUGUGUAAGACAUUCUAUAUAGUUGUCAAGAAUGUAUUAUUUUGUGUAUAAAAUUUUAGACAUAUGGGAUGUAAUUAUUGAUAUGGUUUAAUUAAAUAUAUUUAGUUUUUUGGUUUAA